AAGAAGGCAGAGAGUUUUUAGAGAUUAAAAAUAGGUGAUGAAUCUUAAAGAUUGGUGUGUGUAUUAUACAAUAAUGUUGUUGUUGAUGAAAUUCCAUUUCUAUUAAAACCAACAAAGGCUGAUUUCUGCAAGAAGAAAGAUCCAAAAAGUGCUUCUUUGCUUCUGAAACCAAAAUGAAGACCAGGAAUUUGGUGUUGCUGAUGUUAUGUGUUACGGUUAUAGCUCCUAUUGUUCUUUAUACUGAUAGAUUCUCUGCCUCUUUCAAGGCUUCUUCUUCUAGAAACCAAUUUCUUUAAGAUCUUUCAGCUUUUACUGUCGGUGGUGAUGCCAGCCAUCUAAAUCUUCUUCCCCAG